UACGUAGGGGGCUAGCGUUGUCCGGAUUUAUUGGGCGUAAAGAGCGUGUAGGCGGCCAGGUAGGUCGGUUGUGAAAACUGGAGGCUCAACCUUCAGAGGUCGACCGAAACCAUCUGGCUAGAGUCCGGGAGAGGAGAGUGGAAUUCCUGGUGUGAGCGGUGAAAUGCGCAGAUAUCGAGGAAGAACACCCGUGGCGAAGGCGGUUCUCUGGGACGGUACUGACGCUGGAGACGCGAAAGCGUGGGGAGCGAACAGG
rnacentral:rRNA from 1 species